CAUCCUACGGGAGGCAGCAGUGGGGAAUAUUGGGCAAUGGGCGCAAGCCUGACCCAGCAACGCCGCGUGAAGGAAGAAGGCUUUCGGGUUGUAAACUUCUUUUAAGAGGGAAGAGAAGAAGACGGUACCUCUUGAAUAAGCCACGGCUAACUACGUGCCAGCAGCCGCGGUAAUACGUAGGUGGCAAGCGUUGUCCGGAUUUACUGGGUGUAAAGGGCGUGUAGGCGGGAAAGCAAGUCAGAUGUGAAAACCACGGGCUCAACCUGUGGCCUGCAUUUGAAACUGUUUUUCUUGAGUACUGGAGA
rnacentral:rRNA from 1 species